rfam:Marininema halotolerans strain DSM 45789 genome assembly, contig: Ga0104500_101
CCGUGCUAGAUGGGGAGUUAGCGGUGCCCUGUAACCCGUAAUCCGCUAUAACGGGAUUGAAUUCCUGCCCGAGGUUCGAUCUUUGCGGGGUUUGGUCCAUGUGGAAGGUGUUGACGAACAGGUCCUGCGCAACGGGAACCUUUGAACCGUGUCAGGUCCUGACGGAAGCAGCACUAAGGAGUGUUUUCCGUGUGCCGCAGGGGCGCCUGAUCUGAGCUGACCACAUGGAGCCCACCCGGGGAGAUCGUGUCGAUGGCAGGUGCACGG